CGAUUAUUGGGCCUAAAGCGCUCGUAGCCGGAUCAGCAAGUCCCUUGUGAAAUCGGGCCGCCUAACGGUUCGGCGUGCAAGGGAUACUGUUGGUCUUGAGGCCGGGAGAGGUCGGAGGUACUCCUGGGGUAGCGGUGAAAUGCUCUAAUCCUAGGGGGACCACCAGUGGCGAAGGCGUCCGACCAGAACGGACCUGACGGUGAGGGGCGAAGGCUAGGGGAGCGAACGGGAUUAGAUACCCCGGUAGUCCUAGCUGUAAAGCAUGCGGGCCAGGUGUCUAGCGCUCCUUGAGGGCGCUAGGUGCCGGAGGGAAGCCGUUAAGCCCGCCGCCUGGGAAGUACGGCCGCAAGGCUGAAACUUAAAGGAAUUGGCG
rnacentral:rRNA from 1 species